rnacentral:lncRNA from 1 species
GACCUUGUAUUAUUUAAUUUGGAAUUAUUGAAUCAUAUAAUCUAUGAUUGAAUUAAUCGACCUAUAUAUCUUGACCCUGGACUUGUGUGCCUUGUUAAAUAAUGUUAUCUGAUCCAGCCAAAAAUUCUACAUUAGUUCAGGGUUUAUGGUGAUUUAAAUCCUAAAAUGAGCUUCCUUUUAAAUAAUAAGUGCUUAAAUGUCUGAAUGGUUAAAUUAUUUAACUAUGAUGUGGGCUACUUAAAGGAAA